rnacentral:tRNA from 1 species
CGGUGUAGCUCAGCUGGUAGAGCAGCUGACUUGUAAUCAGCAGGUCGGAGGUUCGAAUCCCCUCGCC